CUCAGCCCAGCCACAACAACAUAAGGACUGAGGGUGAUAGUGGCAGUGGGGGCUGUUUGAGUGAUAGAGACAGAGAGAUUGGGGCAGAUUAAAAGAGAAAGAGAGGGAAAGAGAAAUGGAGAGGGAGAGAAAGAGGGGCGCUUUCACAGUUGCGACAUGAAUCGGCCUGCUGCUGUGGUUGCAGCAGGCGGCGGUGCGGCCUACCCCCCCGAAACCCGUCGCCAAGACCUCACAAGUGACAUGGACCUGGGCCCGCGCGGGGCUCCAUUCACUGACCCUAGCAGCUGAUAGGAGGCAAAAAAAACCUGACUUGGUGCAAACCAAUGUCAAAGGAGGUGACACAGAGCAACAAGAUACCCAACAACCUAACCGUCUAGGACAGCAGCUCAGCCAGAGAAAGCUGGCUAGGAAACACAAGGCAAGCGACCAAAGCCCCCCAAAAAAGAAGAGUACCCAAGAAAAAAAGACCUGAAAAAAGAGGACCUGAGCCCUAGGACCAUGCCUCAGGACGACCUGGCCUGAUGACUCCUUGCUGUCCCCAGUCCACCUGGCUGUGGUGCUGCUCCAGUUUCAACUGUUCUGCCUGCAGCUAUGGAACCCUGACCUGUUCCCCGGACGUUUGGGCUUUAAGGCUGGGUUUGUGUACAGCGCUUUGUGACAUCAGCUGAUGUAAGAAGGGCUUUAUAAAUACAUUUGAUUGAUUGAUUGAUUGAUUAUUGAUGUGACUAAAAUUAACGGGAAUUUAGUUGACUAAAAUGGCUCUGUGUUUUCAUAAUUUUGACAAUAACUAUACUAAAUCA